AGCGAACGCUGGCGGCAGGCCUAACACAUGCAAGUCGAACGAAGUCUUCGGACUUAGUGGCGGACGGGUGAGUAACACGUGAGAACGUGCCUUUCGGUUCGGAAUAACUCAGGGAAACUUGUGCUAAUACCGAAUGUGCCCUUCGGGGGAAAGAUUUAUCGCCUUUAGAGCGGCCCGCGUCUGAUUAGCUAGUUGGUGAGGUAAAGGCUCACCAAGGCGAUGAUCAGUAGCUGGUCUGAGAGGAUGAUCAGCCACAUUGGGACUGAGACACGGCCCAAACUCCUACGGGAGGCAGCAGUGGGGAAUCUUGCGCAAUGGGCGAAAGCCUGACGCAGCCAUGCCGCGUGAAUGAUGAAGGUCUUAGGAUUGUAAAAUUCUUUCACCGGGGACGAUAAUGACGGUACCCGGAGAAGAAGCCCCGGCUAACUUCGUGCCAGCCGCCGCCGUAACAC
rnacentral:rRNA from 1 species